GACAAUUUCAGUAUUUUUGUAUCUGUUGAGGU
rnacentral:piRNA from 1 species